rnacentral:rRNA from 1 species
GAUGAACGCUGGCGGCGUGCUUAACACAUGCAAGUCGAACGAAGCAUUCUAACGGAACAUUUUCGGCUGGGAAGUUAAAAUGACUGAGUGGCGGCUGGGUGCGUAACGCGUGGAUAACCUAGCAUAAACAGGGGGACAACAGUUGGAAACGACUGCUAAUAACGCGUAAGAGCACAGUGCCGCAUGGCACGGUGGGAAAAACUCCGGUGGUAUAUGAUGGAUCCGCGUCUGAUUAGCUAGUUGGUGAGGUAAUGGCCCACCAAGGCAACGAUCAGUAGCCGACCUGAGAGGGUGACCGGCCACAUUGGGACUGAGACACGGCCCAAACUCCUACGGGAGGCAGCAGUGGGGAAUAUUGCACAAUGGGCGAAAGCCUGAUGCAGCGACGCCGCGUGAGCGAAGAAGUAUUUCGGUAUGUAAAGCUCUAUCAGCAGGGAAGAAAAUGACGGUACCUGACUAAGAAGCCCCGGCUAACUACGUGCCAGCCGCCGCGGUAA